rnacentral:rRNA from 1 species
CCUACGGGAGGCAGCAGUGAGGAAUAUUGGUCAAUGGACGAGAGUCUGAACCAGCCAAGUAGCGUGAAGGAUGACUGCUCUAUGGGUUGUAAACUUCUUUUAUAAAGGAAUAAAACGAGGCACCAGUGCCUUUUUGCAUGUCCUUUAUGAAUAAGGCUCGGCUAACUCCGGGCCAGCAGCCGCGGUCAUACGGAGGGUCCGAGCGUUAUCCGGAUUUAUUGGGUUUAAAGGGAGCGUAGAUGGGUUGUUAAGUCAGUUGUGAAAGUUUGCGGCUCAACCGUAAAAUUGCAAUUGAUACUGGCAGUCGUGAGUACAGUAGAGGUAGGCGGAAUUCGUGGUGUAGCGGUGAAAUGCUUAGAUAUCACGAAGAACCCCGAUUGCGAAGGCAGCUUACUAAACUGUGACUGACAUUGAUGCUCGAAAGUGUGGGUAUCAAACAGGAUUAGAUACCCGAGUAGUC